rnacentral:ncRNA from 2 species
AGUUUAUUAGGCGAUGAAGUCCGCCAAAACCGCCCCGCUUUCCUGGGCUGGGCUGAUGACUUCUGUCCAACG